AGAUGGACCUGAUCGUGUCGAGCACCGAUCUGUCGGGCGAGGACAACGCCGGCGUUUCCUACAUUGUCACCAGCUCCAGCGUGGGAGGCAGCAAUGAGGCCAACUAAACGAGCCAGUCCAUUGAGGAAGAACGCAAGCAUUGCUGAGGAGCCGUUUGACCUGCCGCCACACUAAUAUUGUAUUUGGACCACUGGACCCCGAGGCAGUCAUGCGUGGGCGUCGCCCCACCGGUGAACUCGACCAGGGCGACCUUCUGGAGCUUCCAGCGCAGGGGCGAGACCCGCUGUAGCCACGAGACGACCAGCGACCGUUCCAUGAGGUGGACGGCGCAGCCGCCGCUCAGGCAGCACCACAGCACCACGAGUCACAGAAAGGUGGCCGCAUCGGGAAGGUCCGUGGCCAUGUAAU